UACGUAGGGGGCAAGCGUUGUCCGGAAUCAUUGGGCGUAAAGAGCGUGUAGGCGGCCCGGUAAGUCCGCUGUGAAAGUCCAGGGCUCAACCCUGGAAUGCCGGUGGAAACUGUCGAGCUUGAGUCCGGAAGAGGCGAGUGGAAUUCCUGGUGUAGCGGUGAAAUGCGCAGAUAUCAGGAGGAACACCAAUGGCGAAGGCAGCUCGCUGGGACGGUACUGACGCUGAGACGCGAAAGCGUGGGGAGCAAACAGG
rnacentral:rRNA from 1 species